AUACGGAGGGGGUUAGCGUUGUUCGGAAUUACUGGGCGUAAAGCGCACGUAGGCGGACUGGAAAGUUGGUGGUGAAAUCCCGGGGCUCAACCCCGGAACUGCCUCCAAAACUUCCAAUCUAGAGAUCGAGAGAGGUGAGUGGAAUUCCAAGUGUAGAGGUGAAAUUCGUAGAUAUUUGGAGGAACACCAGUGGCGAAGGCGGCUCACUGGCUCGAUACUGACGCUGCGGUGCGAAAGCGUGGGGAGCAAACAGGAUUAGAAACCCCAGUAGUCC
rnacentral:rRNA from 1 species